rnacentral:rRNA from 1 species
GAUGAACGCUGGCGGCGUGCCUAAUACAUGCAAGUCGAGCGAACAGAUGAGGAGCUUGCUCCUCUGACGUUAGCGGCGGACGGGUGAGUAACACGUGGAUAACCUACCUAUAAGACUGGGAUAACUUCGGGAAACCGGAGCUAAUACCGGAUAAUAUAUUGAACCGCAUGGUUCAAUAGUGAAAGACGGUUUUGCUGUCACUUAUCGAUGGAUCCGCGCCGCAUUAGCUAGUUGGUAAGGUAACGGCUUACCAAGGCAACGAUGCGUAGCCGACCUGAGAGGGGGAUCGGCCACACUGGAACUGAGACACGGUCCAGACUCCUACGGGAGGCAGCAGUAGGGAAUCUUCCGCAAUGGGCGAAAGCCUGACGGAGCAACGCCGCGUGAGUGAUGAAGGUCUUCGGAUCGUAAAACUCUGUUAUUAGGGAAGAACAAAUGUGUAAGUAACUAUGCACGUCUUGACGGUACCUAAUCAGAAAGCCACGGCUAACUACGUG